UUCUGAAGGGAUGGCAUAGUUGGCAGAGCAUGAGACUCUUAAUCUGAGAGUCAUGGGUUCAAACCCCAUUUUGGGGGAAA